UGACAGCUGAGUGCACACAUGCCAAACUGGGGCAUUUUUAAAAGGCAAGCAUGUGCAAAAACCAGAUCUGUUGCUGAGACCCCUGCUCACUCGAACCCACCCCAUGCCUCUUGAUCAGCAAGAGCCUGUGUAGCAGCACCCUUGCCUGCCGCGGCCUUGCCCCCUCCAGAACGAGAUGGCUGCGGGCACCUCUAGUCCUAGGUUUCAUUUCCCUUCUCUUCAAAAGUGACUGCAGACUCCUGGAGACACCUCAGAAAAGAAAUUUCCACUCAAUGGCCAUCCAAAAAGGAAGCAUGUGCUCAGUCCAGCUGCCCACAGGGGAGGUUACUCAUCUCCUUCAGUCGCCUGAAGAAGAUCUGGGAUGGGGCUAGGAGGAAAAACCACAAUCCAGUGGCUUCCCUGCUCCAUGUGGGGGAGAAAACUUGACUCAGGGGGUCUGCAGUCCGUCAGGGAUUUAAUCAGUAUUGCCACAGCAGACUGAGCGGGAUGAACGGAUAAGGAGGUCAGUUUUCCCAGGAGGGAUUUACAACAUGCUUCUAACAUUGCCUUCAAAGCCUUCUUUGCUCUACCUGGUGCGGUCUUUGGCCCGGCGUACCCUAAAAUAUGUACCAGCCAGGAGCCGGGGGAGAGGUAAGCUGGGAUAGAUGCAGAGCUGCCAAUUUGCAGAGCUGGGCAGCCGGUGUCAGCCCAAAUAUCAAGGUUUUUCUCUCUCGCACGACAGGCCUUUUGCCAGCUGGCUCCGGCUCCUUUCUCUUGCCUUCAAUCAAGCAUUCCCAGCUCCCUCCAUCCAAGUAUCUUCAGUGGUUAUAACACCCAUCUAUUGCUCAUGAACAUGAGAGAUGGUCAACGUGAGUCCCCCAGGCACAACGGAGGCAGGAGCCUGCACUCUCUCCCAGACCGUGCAUCGGUGACCUGCGAACAGAAGAUGUGCUCAUUAGACCAAAGAAACAUGACAGCUGGAGUCCGUCAACUCAAGAUGACAAACCACUAUCAUUACAUGGUGCAAACGUCCUUAUCCUUUCUGUGGGCAAGGAAAUAUUACCUACACGCUCACAUAUGACAGCACCCUUGGGUGUACAAUGAUGCUGCUUCAAUGGGGGUGAAGAAAAUGAGUAUCAAAAAAGCCUUGAUGAUAAAAAGAAACACUAGACACUAUUUCCAAUCACUGAAAAUGGCAAAACUUGGUAAGCCAUGCCUGAAGUUUUUUUUUUCAGUCACAAAUGCAAAUUCAGUGCUGAUCGGCAGAUGAAAUAUUUAUCAAUGGCAGCAACUGCUGCAAUAGAUGCAUAUGAUGUUGGUCUACGUAUGUUUGAAUAAACAGACUGGCAGGAUUGCA